UGGGCCUACGGGACGCAGCAGUGAGGAAUAUUGGUCAAUGGGCGGGAGCCUGAACCAGCCAAGUCGCGUGAGGGAAGACGGUCCUAUGGAUUGUAAACCUCUUUAGGCGGGGAGCAAUGCCGGGCACGUGUGCCCGGAGGGAGAGUACCCGAAGAAAAAGCAUCGGCUAACUCCGUGCCAGCAGCCGCGGUAAUACGGAGGAUGCGAGCGUUAUCCGGAUUUAUUGGGUUUAAAGGGUGCGUAGGCGGGACGGUAAGUCAGCGGUAAAAAUGCGGAGCUCAACUCCGUCGAGCCGUUGAAACUGC
rnacentral:rRNA from 1 species